AAUAAAGUGCCUGAUUAGAAAAGGAUUAUUUUGAUAGAAUAAAUCAUGUGAGUUUCACCUUUAUUA
rnacentral:tRNA from 1 species